ensembl:lncRNA
CUUACGUGUGGCCUCCUGCUUCUCGCUUUGUUCCAGGUCAGGACAGAGCCAUGUGGACACGACUCAUGCUCUCUCUCCCUCCCUCUCUUUCCUUUGCAGACUCUGCGUGUCUCUCCCCACCCCUGCGGCUGCAGCCCUCACUGUCCCAGAGUGGCCCUGACCCCGUCUGCCGCUGCAGGAAGCUCAGCCCGGCCCCGGAGCAGCCCUUGAGGUGGCCAGAAGCCGGCCCCACCGGCUCGGGGAGCAGCAGUCUCAGGGGCUGUUCUGAGCUUCAGACAAGAGGAGAGAAGGUGUCUCGAGUGCCCUGUGUGUCCGCCCAAGGCCUUUUCCGCUUUGCGGUGGUUUGUAGGGGAGAGGACCUUCCAGAGGUGCAUGGACCGACCCCAGGACUCCCUCGGCCUCGGGGAGAAGACACAUAAGCUGAGCAUUGAGAUUGCCUGUUUCAGCAAGUCCUGUUCGGAGGCCGGGAGGCCGGGCAGGGGGGAGCCCCGGGUGGGUUGGGGUGGGGGGUACUGGGCAGAAUUCGGGUCACGCAGUGCCAACAGCACAGUCUUGGCCUCACCGCCUCCCUGUUGUGAUUGUGACGUCAGCCAACAGAGGGUGUCCCGGGCCUUGGGGAAAUGGGGUCAACCAGCACUGAGAGCACAGGUUGCCCAGGAGGAAAUCGAGGACACAUUGUGUCAGGGGCCGAAACCCAUCGGGUGACCUCAGUGGCACCCACAAGGCUUCAUUAGCAAACGACACCAAGACCCCCAGCGUUAAAGAGGAAACUCUUGUGGGUCCCUCCCCAGAGUCAAGCCUGCCGUGCCCCGUCACGGCAGGACUUGGGGGCUGCCCAUCUCCUCAGAGCCUGCCUCUCCUCAGAGCCCACCCCAAGAGGUGGCAGUGACCCCAUCUCCUGACAGGACCAUACUGGCCCUCAGGAUAUGGCCCUGCCCCCAAGCCUAGGAGCAGAUAGGAGCUGGCGACCGCAGGGUUACCACAGGGCACCCAUUCUAGAUCCCGCCAGGCCUGGCCUCCUCAGCAUGGAGGACCGCAGCAAGGCCCGUGACCCCGGGCCCUCCACCAGCACCAGCUGGCCUCUGGCCUCUGGGCCUUCCAGCUGGCCCACUUGCUUCCUGGGCUCCAAAAGCAAGAAUGGUCCCCAGGAGAACUGCCAAUUCGUGGCUCAUUUUGUCCACCUCCCAAGUCAGAGGGUCCCUCAUCAGUGUAUCCCCAGUAUCUGGGGUUCUGGAGGGGUCAGCUCACACCUAGUAUUAGGGUUUGCAGCCCAGCCCUUGCCACCCCCCGGGCACUACUGGGGGGGGGGUUGGGGUCUGGGCCAAACUGGUGGCUUCCCUGGCCGCCUGCCAGCUGCCUGCCAUUUGCUCGGUGCUGCUUGACUGGUUUGGGACUGGGGCGCCCAAGCGGGCUGCAUGGUUGAUGGGGCCGCAUCACAAACCAGUUGCUGUCUGUAAUUUUGCCCUGACCCCUCGCAGGACCUCGGUGUAGCCGCUGGCCCUGGGGCGUCUCUUGGGGGGGCCCUUGUUGCUGGGUUUGCCCGCUCAUGAGCACCAGCCACAGGCCAUUGGCUGCCACUCGGGAAAAAGCUGGAAGCAGAGAGUGCAUCUCCAGGUCCCCUUGGAGGCCACAGAGCUUCCAUAGCAGAGGCUGGCCUCCUUGGCUCUGGGAGCACAGCCUCAGCCACCCAAAGCCCAGGGCUCUGGUCCCCAGAGAUGGCUCGGCCGCGGGGGCAGAGGAAGCUGCUCGCCCAGAGGCCUGGGAUUCCAGAUGCCUGGGGUGGGACAAGCACACUUGUCACACAGCACCACGGGCCUGCAGUGGUGCUUCCCCCAAGAGUUGUGUUCCUUCUGUUUCUAACUUAAUAAAAGAGCUGAGA